rnacentral:rRNA from 1 species
GGUUAAGCGACUAAGCGUACACGGUGGAUGCCCUGGCAGUCAGAGGCGAUGAAGGACGUGCUAAUCUGCGAUAAGCGUCGGUAAGGUGAUAUGAACCGUUAUAACCGGCGAUUUCCGAAUGGGGAAACCCAGUGUGAUUCGUCACACUAUCAUUAACUGAAUCCAUAGGUUAAUGAGGCGAACCGGGGGAACUGAAACAUCUAAGUACCCCGAGGAAAAGAAAUCAACCGAGAUUCCCCCAGUAGCGGCGAGCGAACGGGGAGCAGCCCAGAGCCUGAAUCAGUGUGUGUGUUAGUGGAAGCGUCUGGAAAGGCGCGCGAUACAGGGUGACAGCCCCGUACACAAAAAUGCACAUGCUGUGAGCUCGAUGAGUAGGGCGGGACACGUGGUAUCCUGUCUGAAUAUGGGGGGACCAUCCUCCAAGGCUAAAUACUCCUGACUGACCGAUAGUGAACCAGUACCGUGAGGGAAAGGCGAAAAGAACCCCGGCGAGGGGAGUGAAAAAGAACCUGAAACCGUGUACGUACAAGCAGUGGGAGCACGCUUAGGCGUGUGACUGCGUACCUUUUGUAUAAUGGGUCAGCGACUUAUAUUCUGUAGCAAGGUUAACCGAAUAGGGGAGCCGAAGGGAAACCGAGUCUUAACUGGGCGUUAAGUUGCAGGGUAUAGACCCGAAACCCGGUGAUCUAGCCAUGGGCAGGUUGAAGGUUGGGUAACACUAACUGGAGGACCGAACCGACUAAUGUUGAAAAAUUAGCGGAUGACUUGUGGCUGGGGGUGAAAGGCCAAUCAAACCGGGAGAUAGCUGGUUCUCCCCGAAAGCUAUUUAGGUAGCGCCUCGUGAAUUCAUCUCCGGGGGUAGAGCACUGUUUCGGCAAGGGGGUCAUCCCGACUUACCAACCCGAUGCAAACUGCGAAUACCGGAGAAUGUUAUCACGGGAGACACACGGCGGGUGCUAACGUCCGUCGUGAAGAGGGAAACAACCCAGACCGCCAGCUAAGGUCCCAAAGUCAUGGUUAAGUGGGAAACGAUGUGGGAAGGCCCAGACAGCCAGGAUGUUGGCUUAGAAGCAGCCAUCAUUUAAAGAAAGCGUAAUAGCUCACUGGUCGAGUCGGCCUGCGCGGAAGAUGUAACGGGGCUAAACCAUGCACCGAAGCUGCGGCAGCGACGCUGAUGCGUUGUUGGGUAGGGGAGCGUUCUGUAAGCCUGCGAAGGUGUGCUGUGAGGCAUGCUGGAGGUAUCAGAAGUGCGAAUGCUGACAUAAGUAACGAUAAAGCGGGUGAAAAGCCCGCUCGCCGGAAGACCAAGGGUUCCUGUCCAACGUUAAUCGGGGCAGGGUGAGUCGACCCCUAAGGCGAGGCCGAAAGGCGUAGUCGAUGGGAAACAGGUUAAUAUUCCUGUACUUGGUGUUACUGCGAAGGGGGGACGGAGAAGGCUAUGUUGGCCGGGCGACGGUUGUCCCGGUUUAAGCGUGUAGGCUGGUUUUCCAGGCAAAUCCGGAAAAUCAAGGCUGAGGCGUGAUGACGAGGCACUACGGUGCUGAAGCAACAAAUGCCCUGCUUCCAGGAAAAGCCUCUAAGCAUCAGGUAACAUCAAAUCGUACCCCAAACCGACACAGGUGGUCAGGUAGAGAAUACCAAGGCGCUUGAGAGAACUCGGGUGAAGGAACUAGGCAAAAUGGUGCCGUAACUUCGGGAGAAGGCACGCUGAUAUGUAGGUGAAGUCCCUCGCGGAUGGAGCUGAAAUCAGUCGAAGAUACCAGCUGGCUGCAACUGUUUAUUAAAAACACAGCACUGUGCAAACACGAAAGUGGACGUAUACGGUGUGACGCCUGCCCGGUGCCGGAAGGUUAAUUGAUGGGGUUAGCCGCAAGGCGAAGCUCUUGAUCGAAGCCCCGGUAAACGGCGGCCGUAACUAUAACGGUCCUAAGGUAGCGAAAUUCCUUGUCGGGUAAGUUCCGACCUGCACGAAUGGCGUAAUGAUGGCCAGGCUGUCUCCACCCGAGACUCAGUGAAAUUGAACUCGCUGUGAAGAUGCAGUGUACCCGCGGCAAGACGGAAAGACCCCGUGAACCUUUACUAUAGCUUGACACUGAACAUUGAGCCUUGAUGUGUAGGAUAGGUGGGAGGCUUAGAAGUGUGGACGCCAGUCUGCAUGGAGCCGACCUUGAAAUACCACCCUUUAAUGUUUGAUGUUCUAACGUUGACCCGUAAUCCGGGUUGCGGACAGUGUCUGGUGGGUAGUUUGACUGGGGCGGUCUCCUCCUAAAGAGUAACGGAGGAGCACGAAGGUUGGCUAAUCCUGGUCGGACAUCAGGAGGUUAGUGCAAUGGCAUAAGCCAGCUUGACUGCGAGCGUGACGGCGCGAGCAGGUGCGAAAGCAGGUCAUAGUGAUCCGGUGGUUCUGAAUGGAAGGGCCAUCGCUCAACGGAUAAAAGGUACUCCGGGGAUAACAGGCUGAUACCGCCCAAGAGUUCAUAUCGACGGCGGUGUUUGGCACCUCGAUGUCGGCUCAUCACAUCCUGGGGCUGAAGUAGGUCCCAAGGGUAUGGCUGUUCGCCAUUUAAAGUGGUACGCGAGCUGGGUUUAGAACGUCGUGAGACAGUUCGGUCCCUAUCUGCCGUGGGCGCUGGAGAACUGAGGGGGGCUGCUCCUAGUACGAGAGGACCGGAGUGGACGCAUCACUGGUGUUCGGGUUGUCAUGCCAAUGGCACUGCCCGGUAGCUAAAUGCGGAAGAGAUAAGUGCUGAAAGCAUCUAAGCACGAAACUUGCCCCGAGAUGAGUUCUCCCUGACCCUUUAAGGGUCCUGAAGGAACGUUGAAGACGACGACGUUGAUAGGCCGGGUGUGUAAGCGCAGCGAUGCGUUGAGCUAACCGGUACUAAUGAACCGUGAGGCUUAACCUU